ACCAGCCUGUGAGGAUGCGUGUAGCAGAGUCUCGUACUCCUUUUCAAAGAGUAUAAAGGAUAUAGUCUAGCAGCGAUCGGGAGCGACUAACUCCUCCAGUCGGACUGUGGAAUUAAAACUGCUUUGCAGAAUAGUAAUAUAAAAACUGAAAUCAAACUCUCUUCUGAGCUUCUAGUCAAGUUGAAUGUUAGCCAGCUAGAGGUAGGUAUCAGCCUCUUGUUUCUCCCUGAAUGAUUCUUCUCAAAGUAAAGAAUGGCAAGAGUAGAACCUGGCAAAGAUUUUGGAAUCUUCUUCCAAGAACUGGAGAACAUGAUCAAGCAUCACCCUCAGGGCACCAUGUUCAAAACUUCAUUUACUAGCAUUGUAAAUGAACUCAUUCUCUAAUUAGCAACUUGGAGUCUAAGAAGAAAAAGAC